ACGAUACGCGAAGAACCUUACCUGGCCUGACAUACUAAAAAGCUUUAAGAGAUUAGAGUGUGCUAGCUUGCUAGAAUUUAGAUACAGGUGCUGCACGGCUGUCGUCAGCUCGUGUCGUGAGAUGUUGGGUUAAGUCCCGCAACGAGCGCAACCUCGUGUUUAGUUGCUAACAGUUCGGCUGAGAACUCUAAACAGACUGCCUACGCAAGUAGGAGGAAGGUGAGGACGACGUCAAGUCAUCAUGGCCCUUACGGCCAGGGCUACACACGUGCUACAAUGGGGUAUACAAAGAGCAGCGAUACGGUGACGUGGAGCAAAUCUAGAAAAUGCCUCUCAGUUCGGAUUGUAGUCUGCAACUCGACUACAUGAAGUUGGAAUCGCUAGUAAUCGUAGAUCAGCAAUGCUACGGUGAAUACGUUCCCGGGUCUU
rnacentral:rRNA from 1 species